GACGAACGCUGGCGGCGUGCUUAACACAUGCAAGUCGAACGGAAAGGCCCUGCUUUUGUGGGGUGCUCGAGUGGCGAACGGGUGAGUAACACGUGAGUAACCUGCCCUUGACUUUGGGAUAACUUCAGGAAACUGGGGCUAAUACCGGAUAGGAGCUCCUGCUGCAUGGUGGGGGUGGGAAAGUUUCGGCGGUUGGGGAUGGACUCGCGGCUUAUCAGCGUGUUGGUGGGGUAGUGGCUUACCAAGGCUUUGACGGGUAGCCGGACUGAGAGGGUGACCGGCCACAUUGGGACUGAGAUACGGCCCAGACUCCUACGGGAGGCAGCAGUGGGGAAUAUUGCACAAUGGGCGGAAGCCUGAUGCAGCAACGCCGCGUGCGGGAUGACGGCCUUCGGGUUGUAAACCGCUUUCGCCUGUGACGAAGCGUGAGUGACGGUAAUGGGUAAAGAAGCACCGGCUAACUACGUG
rnacentral:rRNA from 1 species